rnacentral:rRNA from 1 species
GGGUGCGACCAUACCAGCACUAAUGCACCGGAUCCUAUCAGAACUCCGCAGUUAAGCGUGCUUGGGCGAGAACAGUACUAAAAGAUGAGUGACCUCUUGGGAAGUCCUCGUGUUACACCCC